UUUAAACUUGCAGGAGGUCUGUGUCUGGAUCUGAACCCUGUUGAGCUGGGUGCUGCACUUUGUGAAAAAUUGUGCUAUCUCUGAAAGAGCUUGUGAUCUAAAUGGUUAGUAGCAGGACUGACAGCUUGGUGACACUAGUGACAAAAGGUUGUUUAACACAAAUCAUGGGACCUGGCAUGGCAGAAAGGAGGGUACUGCCAGAAGACAGAGCAAGGAAAAAUAACUUUGUGUUGAGCUCAAUGAAUUCAGUUCAGCUGGUACUGGAAGAAUGAGGUUUUUCUGUUUUUCCUCUUGACAUGCCAAGAAGGCCUUUGCAGUAAGGACUAGGCAAAAUGUAAGUGCAAUUUAUCAUUCCU
rnacentral:lncRNA from 1 species